AUUGAACGCUGGCGGCAGGCCUAACACAUGCAAGUCGAGCGGAUGAAGGGAGCUUGCUCCUGGAUUCAGCGGCGGACGGGUGAGUAAUGCCUAGGAAUCUGCCUGGUAGUGGGGGAUAACGUCCGGAAACGGGCGCUAAUACCGCAUACGUCCUGAGGGAGAAAGUGGGGGAUCUUCGGACCUCACGCUAUCAGAUGAGCCUAGGUCGGAUUAGCCAGUUGGUGGGGUAAAGGCCUACCAAGGCGACGAUCCGUAACUGGUCUGAGAGGAUGAUCAGUCACACUGAAACUGAGACACGGUCCAGACUCCUACGGGAGGCAGCAGUGGGGAAUAUUGGACAAUGGGCGAAAGCCUGAUCCAGCCAUGCCGCGUGUGUGAAGAAGGUCUUCGGAUUGUAAAGCACUUUAAGUUGGGAGGAAGGGCAGUAAGUUAAUACCUUGCUGUUUUGACGUUACCAACAGAAUAAGCACCGGCUAACUUCGUG
rnacentral:rRNA from 1 species